rnacentral:rRNA from 1 species
AUGGAUGACAAUCACUGCCCAAUUCUUAGUUGGAAUGUGCGAGGGUUGCACAUGCCAGCUAAAUGUGAUGCCAUGUGCAAAACUGCGGUAGCAUAUCGACCGGCAAUCCUAUGCCUCCAGGAAACCAAGAUCGAUGUUUGGUCGCCGGCCCUAGUCAAGGAUGUAGGAGGAACGAGGCUGGCUGACUGCAUAGUCCUCCCUGCGAUAGGCACCAGGGGAGGGAUCGCAGUUCUUUGGGAUAACCAGAUCGUCUCGAUCGUUUCCCACGCUGUAGGAGAGUUUGCAAUCACUGUAAAAGUUACCGUCCUGCAUUCGGCGACCGCAUUCUGGCUGACCACAGUCUACGGGCCAGCGGACGAGGCUAGAAAAGACGAUUUUCUAUGUGAGUUAGCUAGAUCAGUGCCACCCUCGUCUGAGCCGUGGCUGCUUAUAGGUGACUUCAACAUAAUCUAUGAGGCUAGGGACAAAAACAACUUCAACUUAAAUAGGCACAUUAUGGGGAGGUUUAGAGCUGCGAUCGACUCGGCUUGCCUGCGGGAGAUCAAGUGC